rnacentral:rRNA from 1 species
CUCAUAUAUCCAACAAUCCAAAAACCUUAUAAUAGGCAAUUUACCCCGAGUGGUUUUGCUGCUUCCAUGAAACCUCCUAUGUUUGAGGGUAUCCACUAUAAGAGGUGGCGCGUGAGAGCAGUUUUAUGGUUUCAUACCAUGAGCUGCUAUGACGCCACUCUUGGCAAACCUGAAGGAGAGCAAGAUGCCCAACAGGCACAAGCUUUUCAGAAAAUGGAUACCUUGUUUAAGGCUGCUCUCUUGAGUGUUCUUGGUGAGAACAUAGUUGAUGCUUAUGCGUCAAUUGACAAUGGAAAAGAUAUGUGGGACGCACUCGAGGCCAAGUUUGGGAUCUCGGAUGCCGGCACUGAGCUGUACAUCAUGGAGCAAUUCUAUGAUUACAGGAUGACUGAAGAGCGCUCCGUGGUUGAGCAGGCUCACGAGAUACAGUCAUUUGCUAGAGAACUUGAGCACUUCAACUGCAUGCUACCGGACAAGUUUGUUGCCGGGGGUAUCAUCACUAAGCUUCCUCCUUCAUGGAGGAACUUUGCUACCUUACUGAAACAUAAGAGACAGGAGUUUUCCGUUUCGGAUCUCAUUGGUACUCUUGAUGUGGAAGAAAAGGCGAGAUCAAAGGACACACGUGCUCGAGGUAUUGAGGGAGGAUCUAGUGCCAAUCUGGUACAUAAGAAAAACUUGCAGUCCCACAAGUUCAAGAACAAGGGCAAGUUUGAUGGUAAAGGAAAGUUUGAUGGGAAGAACAAG